rnacentral:rRNA from 1 species
AUGUGGAUACCGUGUUCAAAUGCGUUGCUCUAUUUCGCCUACACUGACAAGUUAUUAGAGACAAAAGAAGAAGAUGAAGAUACCAUGUUCCAGCAUCUACUUGUCGCGGCAGACAGGUAUGACAUGGAGAUGCUGAAGCUGGUUUGCGAGGAAAAGCUAUGCGGGUACAUCAAUGUAGGCACAGUUGCGACCAUCCUGGCUCUCGCUGAUCAGCACCACUGUGUUGGCCUGAAGAAGGCAUGCUUUGAUUUUCUCAGCUCCCCUGCAAACUGGAGGGCAGUUGUGGCCACUGAAAGCUUCCAGCAUGUGUAUAUGAGCUGCCCAUCUGUUGUGAUGAAGUUGAUUGCCAUGCCCUUGGCAGAGUGA